rnacentral:rRNA from 2 species
UUAUCGGAUAGAGGGUACUCUAGGGAUAACAGGCUUAAGUUGUGUUAGAGUCCUCAUCGCACACUUCAUAUUGGCACCUCGAUGUCGGCUUAUCUUUACCUUACUUCGCACUAUACUUAAAGGCAGAAGUGCUCAUUCUUUUUUGGGAUACGUGAGCUGGGUUCAAAACGAUGUAAAUCAGUUUGGUCUUUAUCUUU